UUGGAGGGCAAGUCUGGUGCCAGCAGCCGCGGUAAUUCCAGCUCCAAUAGCGUAUAUUUAAGUUGUUGCAGUUAAAAAGCUCGUAGUUGAAUUUCGGGAUUGACACAUCGGUCGUGCCUUAAGGGGUAUGAACUGGUGUAGUCAAUUUCUCACCUUCUGGAGAACCGCGAUGCCCUUAAUUGGGUGUCGCGGGGAACCAGGACCUUUACUUUGAAAAAAUUAGAGUGUUUAAAGCAGGCAUUUUGCUUGAAUACAUUAGCAUGGAAUAAUAAAAUAGGACGGCAUGAUUCUAUUUUGUUGGUUUCUAGGAUCACCGUAAUGAUUAAUAGGGAUAGUUGGGGGCAUUAGUAUUCAAUUGUCAGAGGUGAAAUUCUUGGAUUUAUUGAAGACUAACUACUGCGAAAGCAUUUGCCAAGGAUGUUUUCAUUAAUCAAGAACGAAAGUUAGGGGAUCGAAGACGAUCAGAUACCGUCGUAGUCUUAACCAUAAACUAUGCCGACUAGGAAUCAGACGAUGUUAAUUUUUUAAUGACUCGUUUGGCACCUUACGGGAAACCAAAGUGUUUGGGUUC
rnacentral:rRNA from 1 species